GACGAACGCUGGCGGCGUGCCUAAUACAUGCAAGUAGGACGCUGAAGGAGGAGCUUGCUUCUCUGGAUGAGUUGCGAACGGGUGAGUAACGCGUAGGUAACCUGCCUGGUAGCGGGGGAUAACUAUUGGAAACGAUAGCUAAUACCGCAUAAUAGUAGAUGUUGCAUGACAUUUGCUUAAAAGGUGCAAUUGCAUCACUACCAGAUGGACCUGCGUUGUAUUAGCUAGUUGGUGGGGUAACGGCUCACCAAGGCGACGAUACAUAGCCGACCUGAGAGGGGGAUCGGCCACACUGGGACUGAGACACGGCCCAGACUCCUACGGGAGGCAGCAGUAGGGAAUCUUCGGCAAUGGACGGAAGUCUGACCGAGCAACGCCGCGUGAGUGAAGAAGGUUGUCGGAUCGUAAAGCUCUGUUGUAAGAGAAGAACGAGUGUGAGAGUGGAAAGUUCACACUGUGACGGUAUCUUACCAGAAAGGGACGGCUAACUACGUG
rnacentral:rRNA from 1 species